rnacentral:rRNA from 1 species
UUUAAAGAGAGUUUGAUCCUGGCUCAGGACGAACGCUGGCGGCGUGCCUAAUACAUGCAAGUCGAACGAACGGAGGAAGAGCUUGCUCUUCCAAUGUUAGUGGCGGACGGGUGAGUAACACGUGGGCAACCUGCCUGUAAGUUGGGGAUAACUCCGGGAA